rfam:Candidatus Taylorbacteria bacterium RIFOXYD2_FTLL_36_9 rifoxyd2_full_scaffold_1189, whole genome shotgun sequence.
GGCCUAACCCUUAGGGGAAACUCUAUGGUAUGGCACAGAAAUUCGGUUCGGGUAUAUUAAGCUCUCAGUUAGAGCACCUGAACCGUCAUAUUCCGAAAGGGGUAUGGGUGGCGUAAGCCAUC